GGAGAGCUGACAAGGUAUAGGACGUCAUCCCAUUUUAGCAACUUUCACCUGCUUCUCAUCUGGGUACUUCCGGCACUGCUUGAUUUAUUGAUUUGGUGAUUCUAAACUUCAGUUGAUUUCUCACUGAUUCACUGAAAAGCUGAGGGACACAGAAGGGCUAAAGAAAUUGAAGGGGGAAAAAACCCCAACAGAAAAUUACAAGAUUUGAUGAUUCUAUUGUCUUAUUUUAGCUUUCUGGCAAAGCUUGAGCCUUUUGCUAUAGACCCUUUUCGUUUCUUGAACUAAGAUACUACAUCUGAUUUGUGUUCCAAUUUCAAUUGAUUAUCCACAAAGUUGGCUAUAGUCCACGAUGGCUGAUAUCAGUCCUAGUACAUCAACAGAUGCCGAUACUGAAGAUAAGAACAGGUUCCUAAAUCAACAACUGUGUGCCGUAGCUUCUGAUGGAAGUGACAGACCGAAAGAUCAAAAGACACUCCGUAGACUUGCUCAAAAUCGUGAAACUGCUCGAA
rnacentral:misc_RNA from 1 species